rnacentral:lncRNA from 1 species
CACCAGUCUUCCAAACUCACAGUGUUUGUGGACUCAAGUCUCCACCAAGGCGCCACAGCACUGCCCAUCCAUCUAAUGAAGCCAGUUUACUAAAGACAAAGAAAUAUAUGAAGUUCAAUAAUGGUGAUAAACAAAAUUCAAGAAGCAAAAUGGAAGGAAUAACAGACAUUAACUCAGAAGCCACAAAUGAAAACUCUGACCUGACUGCAAGAUUUCCAAAGUGCAACACUGGUAUUAUGUUCCUGGUGGUGGUGGUACAUGCUGACUAUCUCCGGAAGAAGUGGCCAAGUAGCAGAAAUACUUCU